CCUACGGGAGGCAGCAGUGAGGAAUAUUGGUCAAUGGGAGAGAUCCUGAACCAGCCAAGCCGCGUGAGGGAAGACGGCCCUAUGGGUUGUAAACCUCUUUUGUCGGAGAACAAAACCCGGGACGUGUCCCGGACUGCGUGUAUCCGAAGAAAAAGCAUCGGCUAACUCCGUGCCAGCAGCCGCGGUAAUACGGAGGAUGCGAGCGUUAUCCGGAUUUAUUGGGUUUAAAGGGUGCGUAGGCGGUCCGUUAAGUCAGCGGUAAAAUGGCGGGGCUCAACCCCGUCGGGCCGUUGAAACUGGCAGACUUGAGUGGGCGAGAAGUACGCGGAAUGCGCGGUGUAGGGGUGAAAUGCAUAGAGAUCGCGCAGAACUCCGAUUGCGAAGGCAGCGUACCGGCGCCAGACUGACGCUGAGGCACGAAAGCGUGGGGAUCGAACAGGAUUAGAUACCCCAGUAGUC
rnacentral:rRNA from 1 species